AGCACCACGGCCCCAUCACUGCUCCGGGUGGGAAGGCCCUGCAGGGGUGAUGGGUUUUAGACAAAACAGUGCCCCCAGCACUGCUUGGCACCAGGGGAGAGGCUGGACUGGAGACCUGUGGGCUGCAUGAGGCAAACUGAAGACAGAAGCAAAUAGACACAAGGAAAGAAAAGGGCACAGAGAAAAAAGAUUUGAAAGGCAAGCUUUGGCACAGGGCUGGCAGCAGCCAGCAAGUUUACCACGGGAUCCAAGCCAGACACUUCUUAGGGAGGCAAGUGAGAUGACAGGAGGAAGCACAGGAGAUAAUCUGGGAUGAAGAGCUGCAGUGGAGGCUCCUGGUUCAGCACACUCCCCUCGGGCCAAGUCAGUCACCCCAGGAAAGGAGGGGACGUCACUGGGGCACCAGCAGAGCUGGACUGCUCCCUGUUCCGAAUUCCCUGCUCCUGAGCCAUGUGCAGGCUAUAUAGAGGAUUCCUCCUCCUUUUCCUUCCGUGCCAGUGACUCACACGGAGCUGAGAAGUAAAAACGAAAUUUAUGCCUAAACAUUGUUAUUUUAGGAUCAUGAAAAACAGAUUGUUCACUAGGUAACAAGAGAACAACUUGCCAGACACAUGUAGGGGUCACGACGACUGUGAUUCAUCUCCCUAAUCUGGCAGGUAUCUAGAGCCACUCAAUGCCUGGCAGUGACUCACAUCAACUGCUCCCAAGCACCUUUCCAAAACCACAAGAUCUCUUCCCUCCUCCGUGACUGUGAGUUUUUCACACAGGGUGAGGAGAAAGCAGCCAAGCACUUGCCACGUGUCUCACCUGAAGACAAGAGGACGCCGUCAAAUCUGGGUUUGAGAUCUGCGCUCGGAUUGCAAAACACAGACGUGCUGCCCCCCGGACAUCAGCACGUUGGAGAGCUCCCUGAUGGAUCCUGCUUGUGCCUGAGGGACCGACUUCCAGCUUCAACACCUCUGUGGCCUUCUGGACCAGAAGCAUCUCCAGGGGGAUUCUCUGAGACACACCUCUGGAAUGAGCCCCUGGGAGAGCAGCAAAGCUUCCUCACGUGUGCUGAGCACACACAUGCAGGUCUCGGUCUUGGGGUGGUGACAGGAUGUUGGGAGGAAACAGGAGAGAUGCUCAGGGAGUCUGUGGGAUCCUGAGGCUGGAUAAGCACAGGACAAAACCAGAUCUUCUGGAGAGUGACUGGUGCAGAGUUUGGGAGUGUGAGAUUCCCAAUGACUCUUCCAAAUGAGGGGAAGGGGAGAGGCAGACACUGAGCUCUGCACUGUGGGGACCAGGGACAGGACCCCAGGGAAUGGCUGGAGCUGUGUCAGGACAGGGUCA